UACGGAGGAUGCGAGCGUUAUCCGGAUUUAUUGGGUUUAAAGGGUGCGUAGGCGGACUGUCAAGUCAGCGGUAAAAUUGAGAGGCUCAACCUCUUCCCGCCGUUGAAACUGGUGGUCUUGAGUGGAUGAGAAGUACGCGGAAUGCGUGGUAUAGCGGUGAAAUGCAUAGAUAUCACGCAGAACUCCGAUUGCGAAGGCAGCGUACCGGCAUCCAACUGACGCUGAGGCACGAAAGCGUGGGGAUCAAACAGG
rnacentral:rRNA from 1 species